AUUGAACGCUGGCGGCAUGCCUUACACAUGCAAGUCGAACGGCAGCACGGAGCUUGCUCUGGUGGCGAGUGGCGAACGGGUGAGUAAUAUAUCGGAACGUACCCUAGAGUGGGGGAUAACGUAGCGAAAGUUACGCUAAUACCGCAUACGAUCUAAGGAUGAAAGUGGGGGAUCGCAAGACCUCAUGCUCGUGGAGCGGCCGAUAUCUGAUUAGCUAGUUGGUAGGGUAAAAGCCUACCAAGGCAUCGAUCAGUAGCUGGUCUGAGAGGACGACCAGCCACACUGGAACUGAGACACGGUCCAGACUCCUACGGGAGGCAGCAGUGGGGAAUUUUGGACAAUGGGCGAAAGCCUGAUCCAGCAAUGCCGCGUGAGUGAAGAAGGCCUUCGGGUUGUAAAGCUCUUUUGUCAGGGAAGAAACGGUGAAAGCUAAUAUCUCUUGCUAAUGACGGUACCUGAAGAAUAAGCACCGGCUAACUACGUGCCAGCAGCCGCGGUAAUACGUAGGGUGCAAGCGUUAGUCGGAAUUACUGGGCGUAAAGCGUGCGCAGGCGGUUUUGUAAGUCUGAUGUGAAAUCCCCGGGCUCAACCUGGGAAUUGCAUUGGAGACUGCAAGGCUAGAAUCUGGCAGAGGGGGGUAGAAUUCCACGUGUAGCAGUGAAAUGCGUAGAUAUGUGGAGGAACACCGAUGGCGAAGGCAGCCCCCUGGGUCAAGAUUGACGCUCAUGCACGAAAGCGUGGGGAGCAAACAGGAUUAGAUACCCUGGUAGUCCACGCCCUAAACGAUGUCUACUAGUUGUCGGGUCUUAAUUGACUUGGUAACGCAGCUAACGCGUGAAGUAGACCGCCUGGGGAGUACGGUCGCAAGAUUAAAACUCAAAGGAAUUGACGGGGACCCGCACAAGCGGUGGAUGAUGUGGAUUAAUUCGAUGCAACGCGAAAAACCUUACCUACCCUUGACAUGGCUGGAAUCCUCGAGAGAUUGAGGAGUGCUCGAAAGAGAACCAGUACACAGGUGCUGCAUGGCUGUCGUCAGCUCGUGUCGUGAGAUGUUGGGUUAAGUCCCGCAACGAGCGCAACCCUUGUCAUUAGUUGCUACGAAAGGGCACUCUAAUGAGACUGCCGGUGACAAACCGGAGGAAGGUGGGGAUGACGUCAAGUCCUCAUGGCCCUUAUGGGUAGGGCUUCACACGUCAUACAAUGGUACAUACAGAGCGCCGCCAACCCGCGAGGGGGAGCUAAUCGCAGAAAGUGUAUCGUAGUCCGGAUUGUAGUCUGCAACUCGACUGCAUGAAGUUGGAAUCGCUAGUAAUCGCGGAUCAGCAUGUCGCGGUGAAUACGUUCCCGGGUCU
rnacentral:rRNA from 1 species